ensembl:lncRNA
AACCAAUUAUUUUUUCAUUCACCAUUAAAUUUCCAGCAAUAGAUUUAACCUUUUUAUUUUCUUCUAAGAGCUGCUGCUGAGUAGUACAGUGGCUGAGUUAAAUGGCAGAGUUUCCUGAUUUUCCCAACCUGGUGAAGAUACUGAGACACAUGAAAUGGAUCAAAUUUGACCAUUUGGGGGCCAUAUCCAAUAUGGCAUUUUCGUAUGGUUCCAUCUAAGACAGCUUAGCUGCUCAAGAAGCUAAAAAGAAGGCAGUGGCCUAAAUAAAUAUUCCCUCCCAAGGGCCGUAUCCAGCCUGGUAUUGCAGUGAGACCAAAGAAGUGUUUCUUCAUUUUUUUUUUUUUUUCCUGAAACUUUGCAGGAGUGGCUGAAACCUCGUUCUCAUUAGUCUUCUAUGGACUCUGGCUUUAGGUGUGUCAGCCCCAAACGUGGACUUUCCCUCACAAGUAUUUAAAAAGCAAAGUAUGCUGUCCAUCAGCAACUCUUGGUGAAGCAGAGACUCGCCCCCCAGGUUAUCUACCCCAUAAAUGUGGGUCUGUGUGCUGCAUUGUUUUUGCCGUGAUACACCUGCUGGUAAUGGUUGACUAGGAAAUGGAGACCGGUCUCUAGUUAUGUUUGCUCUGGUUCUUUUUCAGUUAUACUUAACGAAUGCUUCUUGGUAGGUUAAUAGUGGCACUGAAAAUUAACCCUAGCUGCUGUUUGUCAGGACGUUUUUCCCUUCCUAUUUUUAGGUGAAAUUGAUAAAGAUGUGGUUAUUUCCAGGUAAGUGUCAAGUUUUUAUGUCCACACAGUUGAAUUAUUCCUAAAUAUAUGUAUCUUUAUCUUACUCUGAAUCCAUGCACCUUACUCUUAAAACUUUGUGAGAAAAAUCCAAUGUAAUUGCACAUACUGAGGCUUCUACAUAGGUUGUUUGAAAGUCUUAAUCUUCUGUAAUUUUUCAAAAUGAACAUUACUGGAAGUUAAUAUAAAAUUGCUCUUUGAGGAUGAAAUUAAGAAUGAGGGGAGUUCCUGUCGUGUCUCAGGGGAUUAAGAAUCUGACUAGUAUGCAUGAGGAUGAGGGUUCAAUCCCUGGCCUCGCUCAGUGAGUUAAGGAUCCAGUGUUGCUGUGAGCCGUGGUGUAGGUUAUCAGACAUGUCUCGGAUCCCACUUUGGUAUGGCUGUGUUGUAGGCUGGCAGCUACAGCUCUGAUUUGACCUGUAGCCUGGGAACUUUCAUAUGCCUCAGGUAUGGCCAUUAAAAAAAAAUGGGGAAACUCAUGUCUUAGUUUCCUAGCAUUAAGAACUUAACCUGAUAAGAUACAGCAAGUAAUCAAAACCCUGUUUAUUAUAGUACUUGUCCUUAUAUUUGAAAGCAGGUGUUUGCUCAUGAAAAUAUUAUCUACUCAAAAUCCUAGAGCCACAUCUUGCUUGGCCCAUUAAGAAACUCUCUCCUUCUUCCCUCCCACCCCCACCUCCAAUCCAUUCCCCUCAUCCUUUGUGCCAUGUGCCAUCCUGGUGUACUGUUAUUUGAAAUCUCUGUCAUAAGAGAUUUGGCUUCUCUUGACCCUUCCCAGAAGUGGAAGAGAAUUUAGAUGGCUUCUCCAAAUAAGUAAAUCAAGGGAGUUGAGAAGUUCGGGAAUUAAGUGACCAUGGAGCAAACAUUUGCCCCCCUGUAGCUCAUCUGCCCAAGGUCACUGGGAGUUGGUGGUGCUUCCAUGCCCCUGAGGAAAUGUCUCUAUACUGUUACAGAGAAGGUGUACCAUUUUGCCAUUAUCGUGAUUGGCUGCCACACUGCCUGGGAAGAAAGUAGACUGGUCCUGCUGAGCCCAAGCUCUAAACAUCCAUGGUAGUUCUUUGCUGUGAUGUGGCUGCUUUUGUUGGUCUCAUCAAAGGCAUUGUGUGAGACAGAGCUCCUUUGACCAGCCAGCUUCCCAGUUUGCAUCACACACAUUCACUGCCCAAGUGCAGUUGUCAGUGCAAGAACUAUGGUGGUGAAGAAGAGAGUGCUUGGCUUUGAGGAAGAGCCAGUAGGCUGGUAGGGGAGAUGGACCUGUGAGCGGAGAAUUGAUGAUAAAAUGAAAACAACCAAAAUGUGCUCAAAACACCUUUUUUUUUUUUUUUUUUUUUUCUGGUGGUAGAAUGGUGCCAUUGCCGCUCUGUGUAUCCACCACAUAUAUUACCAUAUAGGGGACAUUUUUCUUUCACAAAGUAGCUGGCUAUUUUCACGACAGUAUGUACAGGUUUCAGAUUCCAUUAUAUCUGGAUGUUGGCGCUUUUGCAAGUGGACAUGCUGAAACAUAUGCAGUUGGGGACAAUCAGACCUUUGCAAAAGGGCAUGUUCUAAAUAUAGCAAAUCAUCAUUGAUAGCUUAAUGCAAUUAGGGGGAAAAUGGGGAUGGUUGGUCAUAAAACUGAUCAAAAUUUCAAGUGACGUCACCAGAUAAGCCAUUGGUGAUGUCAGUAAUUGCAAUAACAUAAUGAAACAUCAUCAUUGCGUGAUGCUUCUUUCUUUAGCAGCCUGGCGACACUGUCUCAGGAACCUGAACUUAAUUAAGGUGUUGCUGGAAUGCCUGACGCAUUCUAAUCUCUUACAUAGUUUAGUCUUAAAUGGAAUGCUUCAUUGAAUUUCUAUAAUUUUAUUACCUACGAAAGCUUAUCUUGAGGGUUGGGGAGAUAGAGUAUAUGUUAUCGUUGCCAUGGUGACUUUGUACUUAAAAUGGCAGGCUGUGCUUACUUAGUUUAAAAAUAUCCACGGUUUGAUUGCUGUAAAAAUCUCUCCAAGUAAUUUGCUCACGUCCAGUGAGUCACUCCUCAUUUAACUGGCAUUUUCAGCAAAUGACUUGAUCACCGCAGUUUGGAGAAUUGCCAGAGGUUAUUACUGUAAAGUACUAAAGAUACUUAAAAUUUCCCCCAUUACAAAUUUUGAAGAUUUAAAAAUUGCUUCUAUGUGUCCUUGCUGUGUUUGCUUGAGUGAAAACAACCUUAACGGAUCAUGUGGAGAGAAUCAAAGGACUUGGGGAUAAAUUGUAGUUGAACGUGAUACAGGGUGUCUUUAGCCACCGCUACUGAGGCCAUGUGCCUGCUUUUCGCUGAAGUCUCUAUGACAUCACAUUUGAAUAUUUCAGUUGAUUUCUGUCUCUGCUCUGUGGACACAGAGAUCCCCUGAUAGCCAAUCUGCCUUAUUUUAUUUAUUUUUUGAAGAUGGAACCUCCUCAAAAUGUGCACGCAUGCGCACGGGCGCGCACACACGCGAAUUGAUAAACGAAUACGUGUUCAACUAACUUAAGCAGUGCAGAAAGCAUCAUUAUUUUGCAUUAUAUAGCCUGCAGUGGGUGCUCAGGAGCUUUGUGGCGUGGGCUUUGUGGCAGCUGUUGACCCCUCAGAGUCUUUCUACUCGACUGUUUUGCAAAUGACCAAGGCUUCCAGAACAGUUCAAAUCCUGGGUAAGAGGGGAGUAACAAUGGAUGUAGAUGCCUCCCAUUUUUUAAAAAAUCCAUCCCAAAGCCUUGGGGGCAGUGAUGCCAGCUCCUGAGCCCUCUGCACCACAGGGAAACUCCAACAUCUUUUUCCUUUCAUCCUUUCUUUCUUUCUUUUUUUCUUUUUUCUUUCUUUUUUUCUUUUUUCUUUUUUUUUUUAUGGCUCAAAUAAACAUCACUGGUCACUGAGAAAAUAAAAUUACAGUUGAAAGCCUUAUGACUUUGGGCUAUAGCAGCUGAAAACCCUGCUGGGCCUUUUCAGAGCCCCUUGGGGAAUGAUUAAGUGGCAGAUGCACUUAAUUGUUAGUUGUAUUACACAUGCAGGAGAUGAAACUUUGACUAGGUUUUGGACAGAAGACACUUUGUUUUUAUGAAUCUACUGAGUUUUCAAAGAAAGCACAGUAUAGGUGUAUAUCAGUCAAGAAAUGGAGGGGGUUCCCGUGCGGUGCAGCAGAUUAAGGAUCCAGUGUUGCUGCAACUGUGGCUCGGGUUUAAUCCCUGGCCCCAGAACUUCCACAUGCUACAAAAAAGAAAAGAAAUACACAGAUGCAUAAUAAUACAUACUCAUUAUAUAUAAAAUCAAUAUGUAUGUUAUAUAUAACAUACAUGUUUGGAGACAGACAUGCGUGUAUGUAUAUGCUGUGUAACAUACAUAUCUAUUAUAUACACAUGUGUAUACACUGAGAUGUGUAUAUAUGAUACAUAUAUAAAACAUUUACUGAGUCCUCACCGUAUAUGGGCAGUGUUCUAAGUGCUCUAUACCUGCAAGAACCAGUGUGACUCUAACCAUUUCACAGAUAGAACCACUCAGGUCACAGAGCUAGGAAGUGGCAAGGCCAGCAUUUGAACCCAAGCACUCUGGCUCCAUCUCUGUGUUCCUCAUCUCCUUUUUUUGUCUUUUUGGGGCCACACCCACGGCAUAUGGAGGUUCCCAGGCUAGGUGUUGAAUUGGAGCUACAGCUGCCAGCCUGCGCCACAGCCACGGCUGUGAUCCGAGCCAGAUCCGAGCCGCAUCUUCAACCUACACCACAGCUCACAGCAACACUGGAUCCUUAACCCACUGAGCAAGGCCACAGAUGGAGCCCGCAACCUCAUGGUUCCUAGUCGGAUUUGUUUCCACUGCACCACGACGGGAUCUCCUUCUGCUCACUUUUUAAUCAGGUUGUUAGUUUUUUUAAAUGUUGGGUUGUAUGAACUGUUGAUAUAUUUUGGACAUUAACCCCUCAUCAGUCAUAUCAUUUACAGAUAUUUUCUCCCAUUCAGUAGAUUAUUCUUUGCUGUGCAAAAGCUUUUAAGUUUAAUUAGUUCCCAUUUGUUUGUUUUUGCUUUUUUUUCCCUUGUUUCAGGAGACCGAUUGGAAAAAAAAAAAAAAAAAAA